rnacentral:rRNA from 1 species
GACGUCAAAUCAUCAUGCCCCUUAUGACCUGGGCUACACACGUGCUACAAUGGGAAGUACAACGAGUUGCGAAGUCGCGAGGCUAAGCUAAUCUCUUAAAGCUUCUCUCAGUUCGGAUUGCAGGCUGCAACUCGCCUGCAUGAAGCCGGAAUCGCUAGUAAUCGCGGAUCAGCACGCCGCGGUGAAUACGUUCCCGGGCCUUGUACACACCGCCCGUCACACCACGAGAGUUUGUAACACCCGAAGUCGGUGAGGUAACCUUUUGGAGCCAGCCGCCGAAGGUGGGAGAGAUGAUGGGGUGAGUUGAUCCUGUUCUC